CUGGGCAUUUGAGUUUUGGUUGUGAACUAUCUGAAAGUUUUUUGAAAUAAUCAGGAAGUUCCCCCAUCCACGACCCGACCAUAAUAGAUGAAACUUGUCUGGGGUGCAAGGAAGGGUGCUACUUAGUACAGGAUCCGCAAGCCUGUGAAAGAGGCAGCGCACUGUUAAAAAUACCUAGCUUACUUCGGGGGAGGAUUUGGCUGAAUACUGAUGAAGUUUAUGAAAUAUGAAUGUAGUGAAGUUGCGGUACGUAAGUGGUAGGCGUGUGUGAAAGAAGUAAGAAGAAAUAAAAUUGUGUAUAAAUGACACUCUGAAACUUGAUGGAAUUGUAUACGUGACAGGAAUGGUGACGUUUGGGUCUGUGCUUAAUGGGGGAGGAUAAACUGGCUUAAAAAUCUAUAUGUCAAACUAGAUGUGGGGCUAAAAACUACCGAAUAUAAAAUUAUUGGACUUAUGAACGAAGAGUGCUACCAAGGAUAAAUAGGCAGAUUGCGAAGGAUAGAGGUGAAACAGAAUGGGGGGAGAAUGAAGGGCCAACACUUGAAUUUAUAACGAGCUAUGGUAAUCACUGCUUUAAAUAAUCCAGACUAUUAACUACUGUGCUGGUAGGUGCAGAAUUAGUUAUAGCCAAACAAAAGGCAUAAAUAGGAAUUUUAGGUUGUGUGGGAGAAAUCCUCUUGAUCCCCAAAGCAUAAAUGCAUGUACUGAGAAGCAAAGCUGCACACGAUGUAAUUUUUUCUGUCUUACCCUGAUUAAUUGACAGCCAACUGUAUGCCUCUUUCCUGAAGGUGACUUUACAAUCUCCAGACACAGACAUUUCUCUCAGAAGUGGAGUGAAGGAAGGAGAACCACAAGCUAAAGGCAAUGAAAAGAGGAAAAGUUGACACUUUGAGAAGUUAUGACGAACUUGUCGAGAAUGCCAGUUGACAAAGGCAGAAGCAGAGAGGCUUCUCUCAUCCCAUGUGAUCGAUGCCAGUCCUGGGGAAGACUGUCUGUAUAGCAGUUAAUGGAUUUUCAACAUACAAAUCACAGAAGAAACAAGGGUAUAUUUAGCAAGUCUAAAAACUCUUCGAUAAACUGCAUUGCUUUUCGUUUUCACUGUAAAGUCCAUGAAGCCAGUGGAUGGUAAGAAGGCCGUGGUAAGGAUGCAGCGUGCACUCCCAGGAAUGUUUGUGUGAUGGGGAUAUGAUAUCUGAAAGGACAGGGCAUCUGGGAGGAUGAACUGCCCAUAGCUCUCAGUUGUCUGGGUAAUGAAGCAUUGGAAAGCAAAGGAAAGGGGAGCCCUUUGAUAAUCAAAAAUGAUUCUUCUUUUAGUGAUCAUAUUAGUUGACCAGUGGGAACAAGCACGAAGGCGCGAGUUGCAUUUUACCCUCUCCAGCACUUGUGGCCCGCUUCUGACGAGCACGUGGAUGCGGAAAGCGGGAACUGUGACAAUUUCCGGAGACCAGGCUGUUAACCUGGAAGAUGUAAAAUUUCAGAAUUUCACAGCCUGAAGGAGGAAGGUUGAAGAUGAGUGAGGCUCUCAAAUUUCUUGAGGCCCUACAGAGAAUCAGUAGAAGAACUGAUGCGACACAGAGAGGCUCUAGCAGGUUUCCCGAUCUCGAACUCGAGGGUUUGUGCUGGGUGUGUGCUGGGUGUAUGAUGCUUGCUCACAGUGCUGGUGCUGGUCGUGCUUUAUUAGCCCAAAGCCUGUUAGAGCCAGAAGGGGCCUUAUGAAUCAUCCAGCCUGGCCUUCCUCCUUUACACUGAUGCCCACAGAGGUCUAAUUAAACGCGUUCGAGGUCCCAUUCCUAGUAAGUAGCAAGGGAUACGGGUCUUCUACUUCCAGUGUUCCUUCCGCUCAUGUGCUGUGCUGCGAUGUUCAGAUUCCAGUAAGGUACAGAAUUGAGUUCCUGCCCCCGCCGGGAGAGCCCCCUGAGGAUAUCACAGUGUGUACACAAGUUCAUCCAGCAGGAGGUAGUUGAUGUGUGUGAAAGUCAGCGCACGUUAUGUUGGUUGUGCAUCAGUAAUGGAACAUUAUCAAUAAUGGUUUCCAAUCCCACGGGGCGUUUUUAUUAUUGUAGCAAAAUUAGCUAGUGAACUGGUGGUGGUGUUAGCAGAGCCUUUCUAAAGCAUAGUGAAAAUAGUGCCUGUGUCUCACGCACUGCUGAUUCGGUAGAACGUAAAAUAGAGGCUCUGGAGGGGAGCAUCUCGUUGUUGGUCCCGGCCUGGGCAGUGAUGCUCACUGGAGCUGGACGCAGCCAGAGGGUGGAGUGGGGAGGCUGGCUCUUGGCGGCUGCUUUUCCCAAGGCAGAGGGUUUAAGGCAGUGCCUUUUACAGAGAUGCUCACCAGCAAGUCAUCCAUGGAAUACUGUGUAGCUAGUAAAAAUCAUGUUGUAGUAGAAAAAUCUCUCUUGAUAGGGGAAAAUGUCAUCUGUUAGUGAAAAGUAAUAACCUUCGUAGCAGUGUGCACAGAAUGACAUCAUUUUUGUAAAAAACUAUAGCGUGUGUGUGUGUGUGUGUGUGUGUGUGUAUUCAUAUGGACCCACAUACACCUUAAUAAUGAAAUGAUAAAAUGAUUAUCUCUGGUGUGAGUUUUUUUUCUUUGUGCACUUCUGUAUUUUUUACUUUCCUGCCUUAUACGUGUAUUACUUUUGUAAUUAGAAAAAAAUAAAUCUUAU